GAAAAAAUGAAAGGUUUCACCUUUUAAGACUUGAUCGUGAAGAAAAAAUGAAAGGUUUCACCUUUUAAGACUUGAUUGUGGACUGUUACACAUUAUGUACGUGUGACACCAGAACAAAGUCCUGGCUUAAGUAAGUCCCCUGGAUGUAGAGCGAGAGAAGUGAAUGCAUUGGCCAUGCAUCUGGAGAGCUAUGGCCAGCCCCUUCUGGGUUUUUCAAAAUAAACAGUAGUAUCUGACAUCCUUUUUAAGCCUCCUUAGGCACCUGCAUAUAUUAUUGCACACAUUUUUGUCAGAUGUUUUCAGUUAAUUUUUUAUUGUUUCCAUUAUAAAAGAUUUAAUUUUUAACAAGAUGUUUUAUUAUGUAUGAGUGUUUUGCUUGCAUUUGUGAGUGUCUGUCUGGUGCCUAUGAAGGCCAGAAGAGGAUGAGGGAUACCCCAAACUGGUUGUGUGCUGCCAUGUCUCUGCAGGGAAUUGAACUCAGGUCCUCUUCAAGAACAAGUGCUCCUAACUGCUGAGCCAUCUCCCCAGCUCUAUUGAAGGUAUUUUAAAAUGAAAUUAACUGUUAUGUAUUAAGCAUAUCCCCACAACUAUGCCCAACUUUCUUAUUCCACCAGUGUAUUUAUACUUUCCUUUGUCUUCAGUAGGAGAUAGGAAUCCAAAUAUAUUGUCCAUAUGUAAUACUAGUUUGAAUUUUUUAGUUAAUUCUGAAAUCUCUAUUUGAAUGAAACAAUGAGUUCAGUUUCAUUAAUAAAUAAAAAACUGGCCAGAGAAGAUAUUCUUGUUUUGCAACUGAUUAUUAGCAGGAAUGACAUUAAUUUACAAAAUUUCAAGUCAUGUGUGGGGCUGGAGAGAUAGCCCAAUAGGUAAAGAAAGACCUUGCCACGCAAGGAUGAGAACCUGAUUAUACCCAGCACCCAUGUACUGUUUACAAGGAUAUAUUCUCAGUUUGCCAAAAUAACUUUUAAUAGCAAAUUGUUUUCUGGGCCUAUUGGAAAUCACCAUGUUUUUCCAUGGUAAAUUUCAUUAACAUAUGUAUAAAGGUCAAGUCAACCUUGGAUUGUUUGGAAGAGUAUUAGUAGGGGUUCAUCAGAUUUACUUUUUCAAAGACUCAGCAUUUGGUUUUGUUAGCUUCAUAUUUGCUUGUUUUAUAUUUCACUGAUCCCUGCCUUACUUUCUUUAGGAUUAAUCAAGUACUUUACUAUAUAUUUUCCUCAUUAACAUGUUCUUUUACUUCUUUAUUUCUGUUAUUUGUGUGUGAUAUACAAGGAUGUACAUGCUUAUGUCUAUGUGCACUUGUGUGGGCAGGUGCAGCCACUGUGUGUACAUGUGAAGAGGCCAAAGGUUAAUGUCAAGUUGUCUUCCCCUAUUUCUCUCCACUUGUUCAUUUUUGAGACAGUGUCUCAUUUAACCUGAUGCUGGCCAGAAAGAUCAAGCUCCUCUUCUCUCUCCUCCAGGCAUGUGCCAGCACUCCUGGCUUUCUCUGCACAUGCCAGGGAUCUGAACUUGAGUCUUCGUGCUUGGACAGCAAGCACCUAGCUGACUGAGCCCCUCAUUCGCUUUCUUGUGGUUUUCUAUGGAGUCUUAGAUUCCUACUGACUUUCAUUAUAUUCUUUUACUUUUCUCAUAAAACUCUAGGACAUCAAAAUACUUUAAUCCCAUUUUCUCUUUUUCUUGCUAUGUAACAUUUUAGACAGUUCUGUCUAACAUUGUUUUUAUAUGAAACAUUCAUACAUUAUAAUUUUAAUGAUAUUUUUAAUAAAAUUCUAUGUUUACUUUUUCUUUCAAUACUUAAGGAAAUUUUCAUUCUUCUGGCAUUCAUUGUUUUGCUGAGUAGUUAGCCUAUCUCUAGAGUCUAGACCAUCAGUGCUCUCAUUUCAAGAUAAUUUAUCAGGCGGCUGUUAAUAUAUUCUCUGUCUCAUUUGUUUUGUUUUGUUUUUAAAGCAGGUUCUUCAUAAUGUGUGACCUUAGUCUCCUUGAGCAUCUAUAAUUAAGUAAUGUAGACUUUUUGACUUGUAAAUAACAGAUUCCAGAGGCAGGAAGGUCUUAAGUGACAGAUUCUAUGUCUUUUGAUGGCCUACAUUCCUCAUGGAUGUACUUUACCUAAAUUGUCACAUCGCUCUCUGGAAUUGACUUAGAAGGUCACUAGUUUCAUUCUUGAGGAUUCUACCCAUGAACUAACUACUUUUCAAAAGUCCUAGCUCUAAAUAAUCAAUGGAAGGUAAAGUUUGUAAGUUUGGGGAAACACAUUCUAUAGAAUUCCACAAUGGCUCUCUAGGAAAUGUUGUCUUGAUUGAUCACUUACAAAAUACAUUAAUUCCUUCUUCCAAAGUUUUGAUUCACCAAGCAACAACACAAAAAUCCAGCAUCCCAUUAUUUAGAUGUAUAUAUUUAAUAUACAUUAAGUACAAGUAAGAUUCAAGAUUCAAUUCACCCUACAGCAAAUUCCCCUCCAUCUGUGAACUCACAUUAUAUACUUCAAAAAUAAACAGUAAGAGGGAACAAGACGGAUAUUCUCAUCUACCCUCCCAAAAGAAGGAAAUACUUGUGCAGAAAUAGUCAGCUUCAAAAUAUGAGAGACAACACCCUAAAAGAAUUAAAAGAUGAACAGACAAUAGACGUUUUUAUACUUACUGUUGGGAGAUUUAAAAGAAGGGAAAUACCUGAGGCCAUCAAUGACUUGGUCAGUACUAUUAACUAAGUGAACAUAAUUAGCGCUUAUUUAAAAGUUCAUCCAAAAUCCACAAAUUUCAACUCCUUUCAAGUGUGGACGGAACAUUCACAUGUAUAUCGGUCUUGUGUUGAACCAGAAAACAAAUUUCUGUACAUUUAAAAGGUCUGAGUUAGCCGGGCGGUGGUGGCGCACGCCUUUAAUCCCAGCACACGGGAGGCAGAGCCAGGCGGAUCUCUGUGAGUUCGAGGCCAGCCUGGGCUACCAAGUGAGUUCCAGGAAAAGGUGCAAAGCUACACAGAGAAACCCUGUCUCGAAAAAACCAAAAAAAAAUAAAAUAAAAUAAAAUAAAAAAUAAAAGGUCUGAGUGGAGGGCUGGAGGUGUGGCUCUAAGGUUAGGAGCACUUGCUGCUCUUUCAGAAGACCUGGCUUUUGUUUAUUUCCUAACACUGACUUAUGGUGGUUCAAAACCAUAUAUAACUGAAGGUUUAGGGAUCAGAAACCCUCUUCUGACUUCUGCAGUCAUUGAAUGCAUGUGGUGCACACACACAUGCAGGCCAAACACUCAUACAGAAGGUGUUUUUAAUCACAAGACAAAUUUGAGAUAAUACUGUGAUGUUUGGAAAUUAUUUGUAAAUCUAGGAUCAAAGAAAACAAUCAUGAGACAUCAGAAAAUACAAAGAUGCUAGAAAAAGGAAAGGAAUUAAGCCUCAAGUAGGCAAUCUGAGCCAUGCUAAUGUAACACUCCCAUUAGAUUGGCCAAAAUUAAAGCACUGACCAUCUUAGUUAGGCAUUCAUAGGAUCAGUAGGACACUCAAGUAGUUAUAUUUCUGAUGGCAAUAUAAAAUACUGUCCGAAAAAUGACGACACAAAAAGAUGCACACUAAUAUAUUUGCAGCUUUUAUUAAUAUAGUGCCAGGUCAGCAGCAACCCAAAUGACCAACGCAGAUGAAUUAUGAUAGUCACACAAUGUAAAGAGCUUUAUAUGAUCUCAUUCCUCUUUAGUCCCUGUUUCCUUUCAUGCCCCUUAAAAUCAUUUCACUGUAGUUGAUCCGAAUUUUUUUUGAUUCUUUAUUACAGAAGACACUAAGAUUGAAAUACUUGAAUCUGUAUAUGUGCAAUUGUCCUCUUCUCAUUCCAGUUCUGUUUGUCGGUACUGGAGCCACUGCCAAGUCCAUAUUACUGUAAGUCCCAGCACCCAUUCAUUCUCUUCCCUGUCUAAAACGUACACUAAGCUAGUCCUAAGUCUUUGUCGUUAGACAUAUCAAUUAGCUAUUGAAUUUCAAAAAUGACUUGCUAAGUUUUACUGAGGUUACCUUCAAUUCACAAGAUAAAAUGUCUGCUAUUUAGGAAGAUAUUUUACAUACUACAUAAAAACUUUCAUGUUUCUAUGAGAGAGUUAUAUGAUCUUAGAAAAUUUAUAAUCUCCUUUUGAGGCUAUACCUUGCUUUUUAAAAAUAGUUAUUUAAAAGGUUCUUAUAUGGUAAAUGAUUCUAGUUCUAAUAAUUUGCUGAUAUGAUUAUACUUCCUAUAGAAUUCACAUCUUAAUCAUCAUAAUUUCAUGUCAUUCCUAAACUCAGAGUAAUUGUUCCUUCAGAAAUGCCAUUGUCAUCUAGCACCCAAAGCAAUUAGUUUCAAUGGUGGUUGCCCAUCUCAUCCAUUGUAGGCCAGAUGUUGUUUUGAAAACUUUGUUUUCCCUUUAGAAGCUUUAUGAUUAUUUACAUUCAUACUCAUAUAAUUUAUAAUCUCAUGAGAAUCUGUUUAGGUAUGGGUUAUUCCCUUAUUUUAGUUGAUGGACUUGUUCAAACUAAAUGUGUGCUUUUUUUCUCAGGUAUCAGAAAUAUAUAUUUGUGUUCUAGGAAAUUCCUUUAGCCUUAUAUUCCAGUCCUUACAAAGGCAGACUAAUUCCAACUACUCUAUUUUUAAUUUCCAAAGACCCAAUUUUGUUUUAUGGUUGUUACAACCGUCUGUUCUGGAAGUUAUCCUAUCUCUAUCAAGCUCAGCUUUAAUCUCUUGGUCUCUUUCUUUCCUUUCUCCAGAAUCUUCUAUCUCCUCAUUUCUCAUUUUCAUUCUAUUUUUUCCAAGAAACAAUAUUCAUUAAUUAACAUUUAUAUUUCGUCUUUUUCCUAACUGAAUGUAAGCUCCAUGAGGUUGGAACCCUUAUAUCUUCUUCCCUAUAGUAUCUCCAGUGUCUAAGAACUGUGUGGCACACAGUAGGUAAUGUUUCUUAGUAAAAGACAGGAGAAGGAAGAGACGAAGGACAUAUCAAGUACAUUAUUAUAAAAGCUAAAUAUUCCAGUGAUAUACAUGAAAGCCUGUUUUCCCAAUAGAAGUCCUUCCUGAAUGACGUUUUAUAUGUACUUAAGGAAGUUGUUAACUAUACCAGCUUUAACCUACUGGAAGUUUGCACUUUGUAAGGCUCAUUCAUAUUAAUCAGACUGGUGCUCUUCUAUUAUGAAAGGGAGAAUGGAAAUGUGUUAGUCCUGCAGAUUUCUCCAAAACAAGAAAUACUGGGCAGAUAAUAGUAAAAAUAAAUCAACAAAGAAAUAUGAGAAGAAAAUGUAGCAUUUUAUUUGGCAAAUAUGAUAGAGAAUGCCAUUCCUCACUGGCUUGAAAGAACUAAUACAUAACACAAAGAAAAAGUAUUGGGAAAACAAACCAAGAACCACACAAGGUUGCAAAUACCAUAGACUGUUUGUAUUCUGAAGAAGAUAUAACAUUUUUUCAUUCACAACACAGUAGAGUUUAUUCAGUUGUAAGUCAGAUGCAUGAAGAAGAGAAUCAGAUUUGGUUCAUGUUCUACCAUAUCCUAAUUCUUGAUGUUAGUAUACUAUUAUCAGCACAUGUCUGAAACAUUUUCCAAAAUGAAUUCAUUGGUAUCAUAACUGAGAGUAACUUUUUUCCAUCUCUUCCCUUCUAAAACUUUCCUAUAUCAUAUCAAAUCAAUUAAGAUUAGUCAUUCAUUGUACAAAAUGCCUUUGUAUCAAGUUUUUUUCCUUCCAAUUCAGUCUUUAUUACAUUACAUCUAACAUAUUUUAAUAGUUACUUGUUUUGCUGGUCUCUCCUUAUGGCAAACUGGCCCUUUCAAAGGCACCAUAGUAAUUGUUCAAAAAUAGUACUUCUGACAUUUGACUUGCCCCCAAACAAAGCUCAUUACUGAUUCCCCUACUGAUUACUCUAAUUCAUUGAAUCCUAUCAUCCUCAUUCAUACUUGAUGAAGACUUACAUGGCAGACAUUGAGCUGUGUGUGUGUGUGUGUGUGUGUGUGUGUGUGUAUAACUUAAUGUUACUUAGUCUCAACAUGAUCCUAUAAGGUAGCCAUACUAUUUUGCUCUUUGAUUUCUCAAAUGGGGUUACCUGUGUGUUCCAAAGCAGACCUCAUUUGGAAAGUUGCUUAAUGGAAAUGGACUGAAAUGGGCUCAAAUUCCUCCCAUUCAUACCACUGUACCUUUUUGCUACAACUCUUUCUAUAAAAAGAUUUCUAUUUCUAUGAGGUUAGAGAGAUGGCUUAGUACUUUCUGCUCUUCCAGAAGACCUGAUUUUGGUUCCAGCACCCAUGUGAGAUGACUUAGAAGCAUGUGUAACUGCAGGUCUUUAGUAUCUUACAGGCAUCUGCACUCAUGUAUUCCCACCUACCUAGUUAAAUAAAAAUAAGUCUAAAAAUCUUCUUGGAAAGGUUUGUUUCUCCAGCUUCUUGAAUCUGGGAUGCUUUGUCCUACAGAAUACAGUGGAAAUGGUAUUUGUGGUUUGUAUCUUCUUUCUUGUCAUCUUAGGGAGAUUGUUCUUAGGUGACAUGAAAGGAAGUCAUUUUAACUUGUGGAACAGAAGUCACAAGGUGAAUGGAACUGAAGCAGCCAACUGUCUCUACUACCUGACAGAGGAAUGAGUGAGGCUAGCUUCCUACAGUGUGGCACAACAGUACCACAGUAAGAAAAAGAGCAGGGCUCGAGGUGGAGCUCAGUGGCAGAGUGUUUGCUUGGCAGGAGGCAAGCCUUGGGUUCCAUCUCCAGUGCUGACAAAACAUGCAACUGGGAUUACAGUCCAGUGUGUUUUCCAAAACAUACGUGAAAUGACCAAAAUGUGCACUCUUUCUAGGAAAUCAGAGUUCUUAGGAAAGUUUAGUACCAUCCAGAUUGACCCAUAAUUACAUAAGGCGUAUUUUCUCACAGAAGUAAUGUUAUGCAUGUAGUAAAGUGAAUUUUCCAACUCAUAAAUUCCUUGGACUAAAGAACUGUUGCAACAAUCUUUACCAAGAUUACUUCUCAUUCUCUAAAGAAGAUAUUCUUUCCAGGGAAAGUAGAUGUGACACACAGAUGACAAAGAGCUGCUUUCCCAGUAGUGAACUAUUACUUAAGUGAUACUUAAGUCCCCUCCUUUUCUUCAUUUAAUCAGACACCUCAUACCUGGAACUUACCCGUUUCCUCUAUCAAUAGAGUCAUUAUUUGUUACCUACAGAUUAUUCUAGAGAUAAUAUAAGAGAUUAUCUGAGACAACUGACAUGAAAUUUCACUUGUCUGUAGGUGUGCCUUGUUCCUCCAGCAAGAAUUUAAAUUUAUGUAAAAUCAUACUACUUUGAACUUUUUCUAACCAAGGAAAGUUACAAAAGGAUGGACAUACCUAUGUUUAUUUUAGAUGUUAUCUUUUUCCUGUUUUUAACGAGCACUUUUAUUUUUAUUCAAAUAUAAAGUGUUCUUUAAGCACAUAAACAAAGUUUAUAAACCUAUUCAUUUCACAUUUUAAAAAGAAAUGAAAACAUUAAAAUGAAUACCUUAGAAACAUUACUUUUACUAAUUGCCAUAAAGACUUAUUAUGGAAUUUUGAACUUCACAUCCAUUUUUAAAUGUUAGGGCUACCAAAACUGUUUUUUUUGUUGUUGUUGUUGUUGUUUGGUUUUUUGUUUGUUUUUUGUCUUUAUGACGUGGCUUGUGGAUUACAUGCUAAAACUAUGUAUCUUAAAUGUGUGUCUAACUAUAAUAAUCAAGGAAACUUGAUUUUUAUUAAUUUGAGAGUGGGGCAGGGCUUUUGGAGGAAGGAGAGGAGGAAAUGAAAGUAAUUAAAUUUUAAUUUAAAAUAUGCCAAAAAUGCCUUUUAAAAUACCACAAGAGAGGUAGAUGACGGGAGACAAAUGAGGCUCCUGUGAAUAAAGUUUGACUUAUAUAAAGUCCUGACCAGUUAACAUUCCUUAUAUUACAGUGUAAUAAUUUAUAAUUCAUGUUGUGAGUAAUCAUCACUGUCCUAAUCCCUAAUAUGAAUGGGGAUUGUCUGACCUUUCCCUACCUCCUAGCCACAUUCUCAGCCAGCUGUCUCUGCUUUCUUCAAUUACACAUGAAAUAACCUCACAUCUACCUGCUCCAAUAAAUUUCUUGAUUUGUUUCAACAUUUAAGUUUAUUAAAUAAAAUCUUAAAAUAAUCCAAACAUCUUAAUUUAAACAGAAUUAGUUAUUAGAAUAUUAUGUAAACAAUUUGUAUGACUAAUCAGCCACCACCUAUUUCUUUAUUUUUAAUUAGCAUGCAAACAGGUUCUCUUAUGGCAUUCCCAAAAAUACUUCGUUUCCCCUCCCCCACUGCAAUUCUCUUAAACUCUUUUAUACCCUUCUCAGUAUUCUGCCUUACACUUUCACAUCAAAUAAUUCUAUCACCUUCCCACCCUGCUCUCUUAAAGCCUUCCCCUCCCUGCUUUUCAUAGACUUCUUUUUAGUUUCCUGGAUUCUACCUACAUAUACUCCCACAUACAUACACAUAUAUGAAAAUUUAAAGCUAGAUUCAUGUAUGAGAGAGAAGAUGCAAUAUUUGGCAUUCUGUUGUAAGCUAUAGUGAGCAUUUUACCUUUCCCAGUAUUACAGAGAACUCCCUUUGUCAAGAGUUGGGUAGGGUGGCUCCCUGUUACCUGAGGCUGAAAUGCCAACUGUGUAGGACAGAAGGUUGAGUGGCAACUGGCAGGAAAGAAUAUCAAGAAGGAUCUCAAGUAUAUUAUGGUCAGAUAAUCAUUUUAUUUACUAAUUAUUAGUGGAAUAUUACCUUAAGGAAUGUUACUAACCACACUUACAUAGUAAGAAUUAUAAUAUUUUUAUGGAGAACAUUUUUACAUGUCAUCCAUGCUUGCCAAUGAAUUUUUCUGAAUCUAAAAAUAAGUCUAUACUGCAGACAUUUCUGAACUGCUGACCUGACCUCCCAGCUGAUAGGAAGAAACAACCAAAAGAAACUUAUGGAAGAUUCAGCUCAGAUGGUAUACUCAAGCUGGUGAAAGGACUGUUCAAAUAGCAAUAACACUUCCAAUUUUAUACUGAUAUUCCUUUAAAUACAUGCAUUCCUUAAUUCUACCUUGGGCCUUAGUUACUCCAAAUAAAAUAGUUUAUGGAUAUUACAUAUGAAAUAAAUGUAGAAUAAACACAGAAGUUAAGAUAAAAUUAUCAUAUGUCAGGUACUAUCUUAAUUAUGUCUGAGUAAAUACCUCUUGUCUGUAUGUACAUGCAUGCAGGAACCCACAGAAGCCAAAAGAGGGCAUUGGAUCUCUGGAUCUGGAGUUAGAUUCUUACUGUUAAAGGCAGCAGUUGUGAUGUACCGUGUGGGUGCUGAAAACUAAACACAGGUUCUCUGCAACAGCAGUAAGUGUUCUUCAUAGCUGAACCAUCUCACACAUAGUAAUUAAUCUCUUAAUAAAUUUAGCAAUUGUUGAUUUUUUUGAGAAUUAUAAAAAGAGUAGCUAAAAAUGCAAAUAAUCAUUCUAAUUAUAAUAAUUUGUUUAGGUUGCAGACUUUUUUCUUUUUUCCCCUUUUAUUGAAAAUACAUUCUUUUCUCAUACAAUAUAUCCUGGUUAUAGUCUCCGCCGCCGCGCCCCCCCCCCCCCAAUCCUCCCAAUUCCACCUCACCACUCCUCCCAUCUGGAUCCACUCCCUUUCAGUCUCUCAUUAGAAAAGAACAGGCUUCUAAGAGAUAACAAAAUAAAAUACAAUAAGAUAAAGCAAAAACCAUCACAUCAAGUUGGACAAGGCAAACCAACAGAAGGAAAAGAGCCCAAGAGAAGGAACAAGAAUCAGAGACCUCAUUCCCACACCCAGGAGUCCCCCGCCCCCCAAUACUAUACUGAAAGCUAUAAUAUAUGUACAUAGGACCUGGUGCAAUCCUUAGACUUGUAUGUCUUUUGUCAUAUUGCUGUAGGAGAACAGUUACUACAAGUGCUAUCAAGAAAAUAUGUAUGGUACAUAGUACAUAAUGAAUCCAAAGAUCUGACCAAGAGGUUACUCCUAAAUUUUUUUUAAAGUGUAUUAUUAGCAUAUGUGUGUGGGUACAUGCAUGUGUGCACAUACAUGCAUGCACAGACCACCAUAUACAUGUGAAAGUUAGAGGACAACUUUUGGGGGCUGGUUCUCUCUACUGUGGGUUCAUUUACACUGCAAGUGUUUUUACCCAUUGAGUCAUGGGUAAAAGCACUGAAACUCCUGACUGUUUCUAGGGUUUUAGUGUUCAGAGUACCAAAUGGUUUCUUGAAAUAGGAAUGACAUUUAUAUGAAGAUUAACUCCAGAGAACCAAAGUUAAAACUGUGUCCUUAGUGUCAGGACCUCAAAUAUAAGAGCCUUUAUUGGGACUUCAGAGAAGUACCACAUAGAGAGCUCACUCAUAUUCCCAGGACUAGGGAGGCAGAUGCAGGACUUUGCAACUUUAAAAAAUAAAGAGCCAAUUCCAUGAGUACAGACUUUAAUCAAGAAACCUGCUAUGUGUCUACUUGUACUUCAAAACUAAUAUGUGCCACACAUUUUCCCGGACUGCAGUUUCUUUUCUGCCUAGCUCUGUUGGGUAUUUGUAGAGCAAACUAAUAAUUUUAUUCACAAAAUUAUACUUUUUACUACCGAGGAUCUAUGCUUGAAAACAGCACACAAGGAUCCAUACUUGAGAAGCCAUACCUAAAGUCUCAAUGCAGGUACCUGGACAUGUUACUUGAUGGCAUCUGAGACCUUAUACUUGAGUCUAACACCAUAAAUGGCAUGAUACUAGUAGAUUUGAAAAAAAGGUAAAGUGGUUUAGAAAUGUGAAUCAUUGGGACCCAGAAAAUGGACUGUGGUAGUUUCAAAUGAUGACCCCUAUGAAUCAUGUCUUUUAGUAUUAUUCUUGACCUUUUAUAAGCCCUCCAAAAUUAAAUCCCACAUUCAUUCUUAUUAGUCAAUAAAUUCAAUAUUUGCAUUUUGGAAAGCCUGGAUCACAAUGUAAGAAGUUUGACUAUUCUAAAGAAAACAUCCUAAGUGAAAUCAGUGUCAGCAGAGAAUCAACCCUCAGCAGAGAAGCUUCUUGCCGUAAGUGGAAUUAAUUCAAGACCCACAACUGGACAAUGUGCAGAGAAUGAGACUUCAGGGCACUCAGUUCCAAAUGGGAUGUCUUCAUCAAAGCCCUCUUCAUCAAAGUUUCCUCUUACUGAAGGAAACAAGAGUUUUGCUGAAUGCUGAGCAUGAUAUACAAUGUAAUAGGAGGUAAGCACACUUUUUAUUAUUGUUAUAUAAACUAAAAGUAAUUGCUAUUGCUAUAUAGGUGCCAGAUACUUCAGAGUAUCAUUUUAUUAGUAUAUAUUCAUGGUAAAAGCAUGAGUUUAUGACAUUCUUAUGUACAUAUGAAAUGUUCUUUGAUUUUAUCUAUUUCAAUAUUUUACCCUCUCCUAUUCCCAUUUCUUUCUCCUACUGAUCCCCUUUCUCUUCAAAAAUAGUCAUGCUUUUUUUCAUAUUUUUUAUCUAGAUUCUAUAUAUGAGAGAAAACAUGACACUUAUCUUCUGAGCCUGUUUUAUUAACACAAUAAUAUCUAGUUCCAUCCAUUUUCCUGUUAAAGGAUAAUUUGCUUCAUUAUGACUAAAUCACUCUGUGUGCAUAUGUGUCCUCUUUGACCAUUAACAUGUGCAAAGAUGGGUUGAUAAAAUGACUGGGCUAUUGUGAAAAGUGGUAGGAUAAACAGAAAUGCAGUUGGUUAUCUUACCAGUAUGCUAACAUACAUUCCUUUAGGUAAUGCCUAGGAGUGGUAGAGGAGAACAUGAUAUUAUUGUAUUUUUUCUUUUUUAAUUUAUCUCCACACUGAUUUUUGUAGUGGUGGCAUUAAUUUAUAUUCUACUAGUGAUGCAUAUUAGCUGCUUAUUCAUCUAUCUUUGCAAGAAUUUCUGUUCCUGGAUAUCCUGAUGAUUGCCAUUCUGACUAAGGUGAAAUGGGAUCUCAAUUUAGUUUUGAUUUGCAUUUUCCUGAUGGCUAAGCAUGCUAGACAUUUUCCUACAUAUUCAUUGGCCACUUGUACUUCUUUUAAGAACUGACUGCUCAAGGCAUUUGCCCAUUUAUUUAUUGGAUGGUAGAAGGCUUGAUCAGUUUUUUGUAUAUACUCUGAAUUUAUUGUUCUUGAGAUAGGUUCUAAUUAUGUAGCCCUUUCUGACCUGGAACUCUCUAUGUAGACCAGAUUGUCCAUGAACUCAUAGAGCAACAACUGCCUCUACCUCCCGAAUCUUGGGAUUAAGGUGUAUACUUCUACACCCAGCCUGUAUUCUGGAUAUUAAUCUUUCAUCUGUUGGAUGAGUAGUGGACACAAAUUUUCUCUCAUCCUGUAGGUUAUUGCUUCACUUCAGUUUUUAAUUUGUAACACAGAAACUGUGUGUCAGGGCAGGAAGGGGAAGGUACUGUGCACGUGUAUAGAAGUUGGAGGUCAACACCAAAUGCCUUCAUCUAUAGCUCAUACUUUGGAGACCAGGUCUGUCACUAAAUCUUGAGCUUCCAUUUAUCUAGACCAGCUAGCCAGCAGAACCCCUGGGAUGCAUUUGACUCCAAGGCCCCUUCCCACAGCUACAUACACACACCACUGCUCCCAGAUUUUACAUGGGUGCUAGGUGGUAACUCAGGUUCUUAUGCUUGCAGAGCAAACCCUUCAUACACUAAGCCAUCUCGCCAGCGCCUAGAAACAUUUUAAUUUCAUGCAUUUGUUGAUUCUUUUUUCCUGUAUUUUUGACUUGUACACAGAAAGCCCUUGUACCUAUGUUUUAAUGAAUUUUCGCUAAAACAGUUUUCAAAGUUUUGGGUUUUAUGUUAAAAUCUCUUAUCUAAUUUGUAUACAUUUUGACAGGGUCAGAGUAAAGGAUCUAGUUUCACUCUGCCACAUGAGAACCAAUUUUUACAAUACCAUCUGGUGAAGAUGUACUUUGUACAAAUUUGUUUAUGAACCCUCUUGGAAAUCAGCUGGCUGUAGCUAUGUGGGUUUGUUCUCAGUCUUCCUCCUUUCCAGUGCUUUGAGGAGUCUUGUUAGCAUGGCUCUGUUCUAUCAUUUGAAAUCAGGUAAUUGAUUCCUCCAGCACUGCUAUUUCUAUUCACAAAGCCUUUGGUUAUAUGGGAUCCAUUUAGUUGUGAAAUUGCUUUUUCUGUGAAGAAUGUCAUUGAAAUUUUGGUAAGGAUUGAUUGGAUCUAUAAAGGACUUAGGGUAGUAUACAUAUUUUCACAAUAUUAACUCUGCUGAUCCAUUGACAUAAGGUGUCUUUCCAUCUUCUAUCUUUUUUGGUUUCUUUUAUCAGUGUUUUACAGUUAAUACUUCUAUAGUUAGAAUUAUCCCUUUAUUUUUGUAUUUGAAGCAUAAUUGUUACUGUAUAUUUCAAAGUGACUGUAUUUUGUAUGUUGAUUUUGUAUUCCACUAUGUCUUGGAAAUAGUUAUCAUAAGAAAAAGUUUUACUAGGGAGUCUUUAUCAUAGUCUUUUUUUAUUUUUAUGUGUCUGGGUUUGCCUGCAUGCAUGGUUGUGUACCAUGUGGAUAGCUGGUAUUCAUGAAAGACACAAGAGGUCACUAAAUCCCCUGGAACUGAUGUUACAGACAAUUGUGAGCUGCCAUGUGAGUGCUGGGAAUUGAACUUGGUCCUCUGGAAGAGCAGCCAGUGCUCUUGGCUGAACCAUCUCUCCAGCCCCUAGUAAGAUCUUUUUAGUAUCAAAUCAUUUGCAAAUAAGGCUAAUUGAAUAUUUCUCUUUUUUUUUUAAGUUGUAUCCAUUUCAUUUCUUUCUCAUGCUUUAUUGAUCUAGGUAAGAAUUUCAGUGAUGCAUUAGAUAAGAAUGGAGAGUUAACACCAUUGUCUUGCUUUUGAUUUUAGGGAAAAUGCUUUUAUUUUUUCCCAUUUUGUAUAUUAUUGGCUAUACAUUUGUCAUGCUUCUGUGUGUGUGUGUGUGUGUGUGUGUGUGUGUGUGUGUGUGUGUGUGUGUGUGUAACAUACCAUCAACAAGUUAGUUUCAUUCCAGAGAUUCAGGAAUGGUUCAAAAUAAGCAAAUUAAUAAAUAUAACAUAUACAUAUACAAUAGGAACAUAAAUCUCAUGAUUAUCUUACUAUCUCAAUAGAUACAGAAAAAGCCCUUGACCAAGUUCAACAUCCUUUUUUUUAUAAAAGCCCUGAAAAAAUUUGGAAUAGAAAGAACAUAACCACCCUCUAUAUUUAGAUAGCUAGACAGACAGACAUACCAGAAGCCCUAAUUCUUAGAUGCUAUCAUCCCAUGCUUUCUGGCUUCUCAAGCGUUUGUUGAGAGGACAUGUCUAAUGUUAUUCUGAUGGCCAUGCCUUUGUGAAUACAUUGACAUUUUCCUCUAGUAGCUUUUUUCUGUGUUGUGUCUGACAUUUCGUUUUCAUUUUGUCAGUCUUCUGUUACUCUUCACAUAUUUUCAAUGUACUACAAACUCACCAGUGACUCGCCUUCCCAAGUGCUAGGAUGACGGGUGUGUUACACCACACCUUUCUCAUGUAUUUAGUAUUCUUCCCUUGUUCUACUGUUUGCCUUUAACUCUGAUGUGACAUGGAAAGCCUCUAUUCUUGUCAUAUUUAUUAGGGAUUCUUAAUGCCUCUAGUCCCAGUCUGUCUAUAUCAUUGGUUUGAGAAAUUUUCUGUUACUCUGUAAUUGAAUAGGUUUUUCUAUGCCUUUCGCUUGAAACUCAGCUCUUCUAUUACAUGUAUGCUUAGGUUUGGUCUCUCCCAAAGUUUUUCAAAGUCAUAGGCAUCCUGCGUUUUGUGUUUUUUUUUAAACUCAUCUGUAAGUGUACUCUCGACCUUUAUUAUCAUUUAUUAUUAUUACUAUUAUUUGUUUGCUAUUUAAUUUGUUUCCUUGCUGAAUUUUCAAUCCAUGUUGCAGACUUUAUUUUUAAGUCCUGAGUUGAUAUCUUCUUUAAAGUCAUUGAUCAGGUUUAAAAGUAGGCUUUUGUAUUCUUUGUCUUGUAUUUCAACUACUUCAGCAUCUUUGGUUUUACCUAUUGAGAAGUUACGAUCUUUUAGAUAAGGAGUCAUACUGUCUAAGUCUUUCAUAUUACUUGUGGUUUUAUACUGUGACUUAGACAUCUAUUGGGAUGUAUAUAUAUUUUCUUUCCUUUAUAUAAUUCAUACCUUUUGAGAGGAUAGUUUUCUCUUGUGCUUAUGGUUAACACUACUCUUUAAAGGAGAUGAAGCAGAGAUUCAUAACAAAACAAUUAUUUGUCCAGAAAAUAGUUAUUAAAAUGCAAAUGACUACCUACAUCCUUAGUGAGGUUAUAAAA